GGCCUGGCUGGGUGGUCUUGCCGAAAGGUAAGCACUGCUCUGGUCGGGUCUUUCCUUCUGGGGAACCAGCGUGCUCUUAACUGAGUGCGUUGGGGAUCCAGGACUUUUACUUUGAAAAAAUUAGAGUGUUUAAAGCAGGCCUAUGCCUGAAUACGUUAGCAUGGAAUAAUGAAAUAGGAC
rnacentral:rRNA from 1 species